rnacentral:lncRNA from 1 species
GGUUUCACCAUAUUGGUCAGGCUGGUCUCAAACUCCGGACCUCAGGUGAUCCACCCGCCUUGGCCUCCCAAAGUGCUGGGGUUACAGGUGUGAGCACCUCACCCAGCCUCUAAGUAUUAUUUUAAAUUAGUUUUCAGCUAAUGACCUCCUUGAAACAGUCUGAAAACAGAAAUUAGUUCCUGGUGUCAGCCUGGUUUCUUCCUUAGAGCAGAAGGGCCUGGAAUGGGGCUUUGCAGGGAAGGGUGAUAGACACCAGGAAACAGAAAACCUAUCUGUCUUACAUACUUUCCGGGUGAAGAUAGCUACUUGUCUUUGGGUGAAAGCACUUCAAUCCCUUUAGACACACAGGAGAAACCUGGCAUCACUUUCCCAAGACCACAAAAUGAAUAGCCAACACUCAUCCAAAAUGAUAUGGAAGGACAAUGGGUAUGUAGGAGCUGCGUCUGUGAGUGAGCACUGAACUGCACCAGGCUUGAGGAGGCAGAGGAUGGCAAAAGAAAUGUCCGUGGCUGGGCACGGUGGCUCACGCCUGUAAUCCCAGCACUUUGGGAGGCCAAGGCAGGCGGAUCAUGAGGUCAGGAGAUGGAGACCAUCCUGGCUAACACGGUGA